AUGCCAGCCAGGGAGGCAGAUCGGGUCGCCUCCAUCGUCAAUACAGCCGCCGCGCCACCACCCACCUCUGUUCAUGAGGAAGCCUCAGGAGGAGGCGAGCCCUCAUUGCGAGGAAGCCGCAGAAGGAGGAACUCAACUGUGUGUCGCCGGCCGGAGAAGGAGGAGGGGCGCGGAUGCCAACCAGGGAGGCGUAUCGACUCGCCUUCGCGGUUGGAAAGGGUGCGCUGUGUCCAUCUUGGUUCUGGUGAAUUGAUUUGGGGAACUCUUGAAAUCUGUUUCUUGUAUAUUGGCCAUGGUAAUUCUUCACCUGACAUUCUGCAAUGGCUUCCAACCAGGUAA
rnacentral:rRNA from 1 species